rnacentral:rRNA from 1 species
AUGAAAAAGGAUGUGGAGAAGUUCAUCACCGAAUGCCCAGUUUGCCAAAGAGCCAAAGCAGAGCACUGUCAUUACCCAGGCCUACUAGACCCCCUCCCUCUCAACGACAUGGCGUGGGCACACUUGACCAUGGACUUCAUCGAGGGUCUACCAAAAUCCAAUGGGAAGGAAGUCAUACUCGUAGUGGUGGACCGAUAUACUAAGUACGCCCAUUUCAUCUCCCUCCCUCACCCCUACAAUGUUAACAUGGUGGCCCAAGCUUUCAUAGACAAUGUUUUCAAGUUACAUGGCCCACCAAUCAGCAUUGUAACGGACCGGGACAGAAUCUUCACAAGUAACAUGUGGCAGGGGAUAUUCAAGGCAAUGAAAAUCAAGCUUAGACUCAGCACUGCUUACCACCCUCAGAGUGACGGCCAGACCGAGCGGGUCAACCAAUGUCUGGAAUCGUAUCUCAGAUGCAUGGUUUUCCAAGAGCCCAAGAAAUGGCACUCCUGGCUACCCCUAGCAGAGUGGUGGUACAAUACCACAUAUCACACGGCUACUAAAUUCACUCCAUUUCAGGCUUUGUACAGCUACCCACCUCCCCUAAUCAGUGAAAUAGCCAUUCCUGGUCCUGUGGACACUGAUGCCAGGGACUUCUUGGCUGAAAAACAGCACAUGUUAUCCACUCUGAAGGAGAACUUGGCACAGGCCCAAGGGCGCAUGAAAAAAUAUGCUAACAAGAAGAGACUCGAGAGGCAAUUUGAAGUUGGAGAUAUGGUUUACUUGCAAAUGCAACCCUACAGAAUGGCUGCUUUCGGAAUUCGCCAGGCCAUGAAGCUCACAACAAAGUUCUACGGCCCUUAUCGUGUACUGGAAAAUAUUGGCCAUGUAGCAUACAAACUCCAACUUCCAGCGAAUGUGGGCAUCCAUCCUGUAUUCCACAUAAGCCAGUUAAAAAAGCACCUGGGCUCUCAUGCAAUACCCAGUCCAGAUCUCCCUCUUGUGGGCACAGAUGGCAGGAUCAAAACCGAGCCCUUAGCUGUCCUGGAAACCAGAUCGUUACCCAGGAAUGGGGUUCUGGUCACACAAUGGCUCGUCGAGUGGGAGAACCUCAAGCCAGAAGAUGCAACUUGGGAGGAUGCAAACUUCAUGAAGCAAGUUUUUCCGGCCUUCUUCGCAAACACCAUCAAGAGUUGGUUCCUAAAUCGGAAUACUUGA